GGUUGACCUCGAAUCGUAAGGAUACCCGCUGAACUUAAGCAUAU
rnacentral:rRNA from 1 species